CCUCCUGCUCACUCCCUUUCUCUCUCUCUCAAAUAAAUAAACUUUAAAAAAAAAAAAAACUAUUAAAGCUAUAGGCUUAACACGCCCAUACUGUGCUUCUAGGAGAAUCCAGGUGAUGUACCUCAGUGCAAAAUAUCCGUGUACUUAUUUAGGUUUCUUUCCAAAUUUGCACUACUACCCCAAGCGAGUAUGGUUUUCAAAUGGCAUUUUACAAAAUGGAUCUGGAGGCAAAAAUACCGUCAAAGGCCCAGAGAGGCUAUCCGAGCAUUACAAGACGAGGCUUGGAAGGUGUGUGUGGCCAGGAAGCCAAGGGGACCUUUCAUCCAAACGAAUCAUGAGUCAUGAAGCCGCCUGUUAAAUGGGGGAAAUGAAAUCAGCCUGUUACAUAAAACUCUCUCCUCACCCUCCAGUUUAUUCCAUGACAAGCUUGAAAUGACAUGGGGUUUAACUGGCAGGGUUUGCUUUUAAUCGUUGGAGAUUUGUAAGUCAGAUGGAAACAACAGGAAAUCCCUCCCCUGAAAGCCCUGCCGAGCCCCUUACACACAUGCACUCGCUCACACCGGCUCCGAAAGAGCUCCCGGCGCUUCAGUUCUCGGCUUUGAUAACUCAAGAACAGCAGAUGAAACACACUUUUUAAAAGUUUUUAAAGAACAAAACAAGAACCACAGGAAGGGGCAGGGUGUUCUGCUCCUCUCUCUGGCCGUUUGGAAGGUGGGGUGGGCACCGCACCCAGCCGGUCGGUCGGCCUCGAGCCCGCCGCACUGGCAGCGGUUAGAAAUGCUGGCCCCUCGUUCAAGUUUGCAUCUUGCGAAAUAACCUCACUGUAGUCUUGUUUGGCUGUACUCCUUUGAGGACUUCCCACUUUCAAGAAGAGCGAUCAUUUUCAUGUCCCACAAUCUCCAAAAUACAUGUAGUUUUAAGGCAAAAUUCAAACUUCCCGUUAGUGAAAUAUUUUGAUACAUCUUUUUUAGGAUUAAAGCAGUCAGUAUAAGUUAACGUCUGUGACUUGACGACAAAUUCAAGUACCCAGAGCUUCUGUGAGGACCCUUGCCCCAAGCCUUCAUCAGUGAGGGUACUUGGGUAAUCCUCCAGAAGCAAACAGUGACGUGCCGUCUGGGCAGCUUUUGAACAAAUUGCAGUAAUGACAAUUUCUUGACCUUCACAAGUGAUACCAAUUGACACUAUGAUAAUGUAAUGAUAAUUUAUCGAGCACUUGCCGCAUGCCGGGCAUGCGCACACAGCAUGAGAACCUCACUUGGUGCUCUCAAGGCCUUACCGUGCAGGUGCAGAGACCCUCCCUUUAGCCCCCGGGAACAGGGACCGCCAGGAAGUUAGAGCUGCCCAAAGGCACACAGGGUAAGUAAAGCUGGAACCGCAGGCCCGGACACGUGGCCCCAAAACUUACACUCUGAACCGCUAGCAAUUCCACCUCUUAGAACUCCGAGCGAAUUUCUUCCAGCCCAUAUCGUGACUGUGACCAGUCCCUAAAGGCCUAGAAAUGUGCCCAGACCACAGACUAGACACAUCCGGAGCUGGACUGUAAGGAUACAGAGGAGCUGGCCACUAAACGAGUAUUUUAACUCUCUUUUUAGCAAUGGUCAUUUCUUCGGGGGGAGAGAAAGGAUUUCAAACAUUGUAAAGUCAAAGACUCGUUUUUGCAAGUGUGACUGUGCUUCGAUUUCCCAAAUGGGGAAGAGUGGCGCCCCUUCCACAAAAGCAGGAAAGGCAAAGCCAUACUCGCCUUCCUCCCCAACAGACCCCAGACUCGUCCCAAGAUUUCAGGGGUCCAUGGAGGACAGCCUGGGAAUCACUGAGGUCGACAGAUUGCCAUAGACCUGACAGAUCUUGUUCUCUGAAAAUCACUGAACAAAAUGUCUAAUGUUCUUGUCUACAAAGGAGGUAACUAGAACCCAUACACUACGGGUAAGCAACAAUAUGUCUUCCUGUCUCUGCCUGACGGCUCUGCGCGCGGUCCUGCUGCGCCCAGCAGCUUUUAUCGGUAGCUCAAGUCCUCGACAACGUGCCCAGGACACUAACGGGGGCCAGCGGCAGAGCCUGGCCAGACAUAGUCCAAGAGCGUGUGAACAGCAGGCAGCUUAGGAACACAUGUGUCAAAACGCGGAAUAUUGUCCAUAGAAAUCUUUUUGGAAGAACUCCAAGGACUCAAAACUUCGUCUUAAUAUAAGAAACCCCAAAGCUCACCUAGCACGGACUUAAUUUUCCAGUAGUAUGAAUUCCCGCCCUGCUCCCCAGGCUGCAGAAACGGAUGGCUCCCCAGACCACAAGGUCGUGAUGCCAAAAUUAGAACAGGAAACUAAAUUUCAAGAAGGCAGAGUGAACUACAAAUUAAAUAAUCUGAAAACAUACUAAAACCUGUGUAAGGAGCCAAGAUUGCAAAACCUGGGGGACAGGUGUUAACUGGUCCAGGGGUCCCAAAGAGAGGUCUGGGUCAAAUGCUGUUCUUGGUUUCACUUACAUACACGGCCAACGUGCGGAGCCUGGGCUGACAGGCAAGCAUAAAGGUCCAGGGUGGGGAUAGACACAAGUCCCUCCAAGGCAGGACAGAAUCAGCAUUUUCCUGGUUAACCCAGUGAGUGGGAAGUGAAUGGGGCUCACAUGACCUCUUUCAGCUUCUAAGCACCCUUGCGCAUAUACCAAAUCCUUGAGCUGAGUUGGCAUCGAAGGCAAUCUUCGUGCUUGUCCACUUGGCAUGUGAUGUGCGGCAGAGGGCAGGGUCACCGGCCCCCUUGACUCCAGGAGGCAGUGGCACUGGGGCAGGCUGCCAGGAAAGACCGGCUGUUGCAGCCUCUGCUGGUUUCUGGGAAAGCGUCGUGAAUGCGCUGGAAGAAGGCUCAGCAGUACUAACUCCCCUAACAGAAUGAAGUGACAGCCCAUGGAAAAUGUCUAGAACGAUGCGCGGUGAAACGGGACAUGUUCAAAAAUACUGGGCGUUAUGGCUGACCUUUGGACAACUCUGAUUUGAACUGUGUGGGUCCGCUCAUACGUGAUAGUUCUCAAUAAAUAGCGUACGUAGGAGUCCAUCUCAACAAGCCCAUUAUAAACUGGAAAUGUCAGAAGUCAGAAACGCAUUUGCUGCAUGUGGCCUACUGAACAUCACAGCUCAGGGCCUUGCCGUCUACGCCGAGCGGCCGAGCAUCUCGCACAGACACACACUGUCCGGACAGCGACAGGGCGGAGCAGCAGGACGCGCGGACACUGGCGGUGAGCUUAGGGGCCCUUCGCCCUCAUGAUCGCGUGGCUGACGGAGCUGAUGGGACGGCACUAGCCCAGGAAAGACCGACACUGAGAAUUCCACCUGCCGAGUUCCUACUGAAUCAGUACUGCCUUCACACCCUCACAACGUCGAGAAACGGUUCAGUCGAACCAUCGUGUCCAGACACCGCUGUUAGACGAACAACAAAACCUACGGAGAGAAAAGUUAAUUUUCAGUAGAAACUACUAGGUAUGUGUUUCAGGCGCCUGUGGCUCAGCUGGUAAAGUCUCACGGUUCUGAGUUCAAGCUGUAGGCUGGGUUUAACGAUUACUUAAAAAUAAAAUUUUU